GUGGUUGUAGCUCAGUGGCAGAGCAAUUGCUUUGCACAUAUGAGGCACUGGGUUCGAUCCUCAGCACCACA
rnacentral:tRNA from 1 species